rnacentral:rRNA from 1 species
AUUGAACGCUGGCGGCAUGCCUUACACAUGCAAGUCGAACGGCAGCACGGGAGCAAUCCUGGUGGCGAGUGGCGAACGGGUGAGUAAAGUAUCGGAACGUGCCCAGUCGUGGGGGAUAACGUAGCGAAAGUUACGCUAAUACCGCAUACGAUCUAUGGAUGAAAGCGGGGGAUCGCAAGACCUCGCGCGAUUGGAGCGGCCGAUAUCAGAUCAGAUAGUUGGUGGGGUAGAGGCUCACCAAGUCGACGAUCUGUAGCUGGUCUGAGAGGACGACCAGCCACACUGGGACUGAGACACGGCCCAGACUCCGACGGGAGGCAGCAGUGGGGAAUUUUGGACAAUGGGCGAAAGCCUGAUCCAGCCAUGCCGCGUGCAGGAUGAAGGCCUUCGGGUUGUGAACUGCUUUUGUACGGAACGAGAAGGUUUGGCCUAAUAAGCUGAGCUCAUGACGGUACCGUAAGAAUAAGCACCGGCUAACUACGUGCCAGCAGCCGCAGUAA